AUUGAACGCUGGCGGCAGGCCUAACACAUGCAAGUCGAGCGGAGCGGCGGACGGGUGAGUAAUGCCUAGGAAUCUGCCUGGUAGUGGGGGAUAAAGUCCGGAAACGGGCGCUAAUACCGAAUACUCUAAGACGAGCCUAUGUCGGAUUAGCUAGUGGGUGGGGUAGAGGCCUACCAAGGCGACGAUCCGUAACUGGUCUGAGAGGAGGAUCAGUCACACUGGAACUGAGACACGGGCCAGACUCCUACGGUAGGCAGCAGUGGGGAAUAUUGGACAAUGGGCGAAAGCCUGAUCCAGCCAUGCCGCGUGUGUGAAGAAGGUCUUCGGAUUGUAAAGCACUUUAAGUUGGGAGGCGUUACCAACAGAAUAAGCACCGGCUAACUUCGUGCCAGCAGCCGCGGUAAUUC
rnacentral:rRNA from 1 species